GCCGCCGUAGCUCAGUAGGUAGAGCGCCUGGCUGUUAACCAGGUGGUCGUCAGUUCGAGUCUGACCGGCGGCG
rnacentral:tRNA from 1 species